UACAGAGGUCUCAAGCGUUGUUCGGAUUCAUUGGGCGUAAAGGGUGCGUAGGUGGCGCCGUAAGUCAGGUGUGAAAAUUUCGGAGCUUAACUCCCGAAACUGCAUUUGAUACUGCGGUGCUUGAGGACUGGAGAGGAGGACUGGAAUUUACGGUGUAGCAGUGAAAUGCGUAGAGAUCGAGUAAGGAAGACCAGUGGGCGAAGGC
rnacentral:rRNA from 1 species